GGAUAGGUGACUGAGAGGUUUAUAGUGCUGGUUUUGAAAACCAGUAUAUUGUUUAUGCAAUAUCGUGGGUUCAAAUCCCACUCUUUCCGACA
rnacentral:tRNA from 1 species